AAGUCGUAACAAGGUUUCCGUAGGUGAACCUGCGGAAGGAUCAUUAUCGAGUUUGAAGGGGCUGUGCUGGCCUUUCGAGGCAUGUGCACGCCUCGCUCAUCCAACCCACACCUGUGCACCUCCUGUAGGCUGGUCUGUUGGGGGUCUCCCCUUCAGGCCUUCCUAUGUUCUUUACAAAACCUGUCUGUGUAGAAUGUCUUUGCGCGAACAACGCAUUAUUAUAACUUUCAGCAACGGAUCUCUUGGCUCUC
rnacentral:misc_RNA from 1 species